AAGUCGUAACAAGGUUUUCGUAGGUGAACCUGCGGAAGGAUCAUUAGUGAAGUCUUAAGAACGCUCGCAAGAGGUUCGACUACACAAUCAUUACACUGUGAACUUGAAUUUUUUCAACUUGUCCGAAAGGACUUAUUCGAAACCCUAGUCUUUAACCGAGGAAUGAAUGUAACCUUUGAUAAAAGAAAGUAACAA
rnacentral:misc_RNA from 1 species